UCUUAUAGACGGACAAAUAAAGUGGUUUCUUGAGAUGGAAUCUACUCACGAUGAAGGUACUGUGAA
rnacentral:pre_miRNA from 1 species